UAGCAUCUUUAAUGGCGAGCGAAGAGACGGUUAUACAGAACAUUUCUGGUGGCCUUCUGGAGGCUAGGGCCUUACUUCAAGAUAUAUGCUCUUCAGAUCCUUCGUUGGAUGUACGGAAAAUGUGCCAGAGAUUGCUUUUAUGUUUGACCUCUGUGUAAAAACUUGGUGUUUUUUUUCUGUUUUCUUGCCGCCAUUGUCUCCUCAGUUAUAUACUCUUGACCUCUGUGUAAAAACUUGGUGUUUUUUUUCUGUUUUCUUGCCGCCAUUGUCUCCUCAGUUAUAUACUCUUGACUUGUAAAGUACAGCUACAAAUGUACAGUGAAUUCAAUAGCUUGGGAUACUAUGGUAGUUUCUUCCUAUUUUACCAAAACAAAAUUGUAAACACCAGGUAGGGGUUACUUUGUUUCAACAGAAUUGUGGCAUAAGCUAGUGACGUUUCUUUAUAUAUUUAGCUUUUGGAAAAUUAUAUUAUAGUAAUUUGAUAAUAUUAAUCCUGUACUUCGACAAUUG
rnacentral:lncRNA from 1 species